rnacentral:lncRNA from 1 species
UAGCAAAACAUUGGGAUGAACUUAUAAUGCAGAUUAAACUAUCAAACAGUGAUUUUGAUUUAGUAAUCUUAUCGGAAAUCUUUUGUAGGGAGAAUGAAAUAAAUUAUUACAGUAUACCAAGCUACGAAAAAACUUAUAAGUUAAGAAAAACCAAACAGGAGGAUCAUAAGCUUAUUAAUUUUUUAUUAAUCAAACAUAAUACUACUAACAGCACUAAACACCAAUACAGAAUCAUACGAAUGCAUGUUAGGUGAAAUUUUAGUUGCAGGAUUCAAAGACAAGAUAUGCCUAAAAGCCAUCUACAGACCACCUAGUUCUUCAAGCAAAUUGUCAAUAAAACAUUUUCUUUAAGAAAUAGAUUCAGAACUUAAGAAGUUGAGCAAUUAUACAAUAUGUGUGCUGAAAGGAGAUGUUAAUGUCGAUUUAACUGAUAAGAAAGAUCAACGCGUUAAGGAGUAUGAAACAAUUCUAGCUGCUUGGAGACUAAGCAGGGGAAUAUGGUUCAGAAUUGGUUGAUGCAUUAAGUAAAACAGGAAUAAAAGGUAUAUAUCUAAGAUGGUUUUAAUCAUAUUUAAAAAAACAGAAAAUUCAGAAUAAAAGUAGAUGGAUGUAACAGUGAAUUAAAAGAUGUGAACUACGGGAUACCAACUUGGUCCGCUAAUGUUCAUAGUUCAUAUAAAUGAAAUGUUUGAGAUUGUAGAAGAAUGUCAGAUUUGGACAUAUGCCGAUGAUAUAGUCUUGGCGUCAGGACACAAGAAACAGAAUUUAGCGCAGAAAUCCCUUCAAUCAGAUUUUAAUAAAGUAACAAAGUGGGCCCAUGAUAAAGGACUCGUUAUUAAUUGGGGAAAAACAGUAAUGAUGCACUUUCACAUACAACAUUUAAAAGUAAUAUAAUUCCACAAAUUAAAUAUCACACAUGUGACUGUUUACAUAUGAAUAAGAAUUUGGAAGGAAUAGAGUGUAUGUGUGAGACUAUUAAAUUAACAGAAAAAUGUAAAUAUUUAGGAGUUUUGGUAGACAAUAAGUUAAUUUGGAAAGACCACAUUAAUGAAUCACAAAAUAAACUGACAACUUGUUUUAAUAUCAAUGUAUAGAAUAGGCAACGCAAUAGACAGAAAAUUAAAUAUACAAUAUAUAAGGCUUUGGUUGAGUCCGUUAUUAGGUACGGUGUAAAUGUCUGGGAAACAGCUGCUAAGACACAUUUAAAUAAAAUAAAAGAAAAACGUACAAGAUAGGUGUUUAAAGAUAUUACUAAGAAAAAAUAAAAACGAAAAUGUACAGUAGGCAGGCCUAAGAAAAAAGAAGCAAAACACUCUCUCCAAUUGGUGUAUAUACAUAUACCACAAUAAUAACAAAUGUAAAAAGAAACAAUCUUAAACGCAUUGUUCACAAAAAUGUAAACACAAGGAGUAAGGAAACCUUUGAAGUGCCUAGAUCGAAUACAUUUUUAUGGAGAGCGUCCACCGAAUUACAUCGUGCCGUUCCUGUAUAAUAAGAUUCCUAAUUAUAUUGAUGAUACCUGUAUAAACCAUUUACGAUUUAAAUAUAAAAUAUUUAAUAAGCUAAUGGACCAAGAAAGUUCUGAAAGCUAAAAAUGUGUAAUAUAAGAGAAUAAUAAUUUAGCUAAAGACUCAUCCCAUACACUACAAUACCAGUGACAAUACUUUUCACUUUAACCCACGAAACACUUGACAAACUCCCGCAUAAACACUUUACUUACCCAGAACUAUACACUACGUACUACUGACAUAUUGGUGGACAUGGACGAUGAGCACGUGACGGGGACAGGACGGGAACUAACAGUACGUAUUAUAAAAAUGCCUUUUGAAACAACUGCUGAUAAGAAAGGUUAACACACUUUCACUAACAACCAAUGAACAAUCAAGUAAUAAUUACUGCAGGGGCAAAGUAUUGGGUCUGUUUGCCAAGAUAGCAGAUGACAAUGAUACAGUCUUAUCUAAAAAGGAAGUAAACAUAUUUUUAUUAGUAUUGUUAAAAUUGAUAGAAAUGUUCGUAUAUUUGUGUACUCUAUUUCUGUUAAUAUUUAUUUAAUUUAUUGUAAUGUUAUUGUAUUGUAAUAUAUAUUGCAUGUGUUAUUGAUGUUAUAAAGAACCCUUUUAGUUCACUGUUCUAUGAUAUUCGCUACGGAUUUCAUAAUUAUAUAUGUUGCGCUUCUUGCUAUUUAUUUUAAUAUCUCGGGGUUAUUGUAAUUUCAUGUUCAUAACAUAAAUAUUUGUUACACAACCGUUCGUUUUUUCAGUUACGGAGUAGUAAAAGUUGUAAUUGUAGUUAAUGAAAUAUCGUGUCAUAGUAUGUUCUUGACAAAUUAUUAUGAUGGAACAAUUAUUACAAUAAAAUCACUAACUAAUGCUUGAAACUCCUCAUCAUACUAAAUGUCUGAUAUGUGGCCUUGUGAAUAUGUAAGUCCUGGUAUUAAAUAGAAAUUCCAAAAUAUUGUAUCAUUUCAAUUAAAAAAUAAUUAAAUUACUUUACCAUCAUUUUGGUCACAAGUGAUAUACAUUUACGGUAUGUUUCACAUGAAACAAGGAGUUCCUAUUUCUAGCAUAAUACUUUAUUCUAUGGUAUAAUGUUAUUAGUACCAUAACGAAAAAUCAUGGUAUACAUGAACUAUCUGCAUCUAACAUCUAUAUAUUCCGUAUUCGUAUCGUGUUGAAACAUUGUUUAUGAAAUUAAUUCUUAUAGUAUUUCGACCUCGCUGUGGAGGGCCAUAUUCAGCAAACAAGGUUACAUCGAAAUAUGCUUAAUUUAUUAUAAGGAUUUACUUGUAAGUAUAUGAAUAUGAAAUAAUUGUAUACGAGUAUAUUGAUAUUGUGUUUGCGAUGAUUUAUUAGUAUCUUCCGACAUAUUUUUUAAUUCAACCAUAAAUAAUAUGUAAUCCCUAUUAACAUAUUUUAAAUUACUAUACAUUUAGUCAAAAGAAGUGAGUAGUCGAAGUUCGCACUACAAUGAUUAGAAAUAUUUGGUGAGCUUAAUAUAGUUUAUAUUUAAAACAAUAAUAGUGUAAAAUAUAUGAAAGUUAUUGUUUAAAUUUAUCAUUACCGGUAUUUACCCGUUUAGUAAUUUAUUGCUUAAUCUCUAAUGCUGCUAGAUGAUAAUUGCAGACUUGUAAUCUCGAACAAGCAUUUUUUUAAUGUUAACAAUAAUUGAAUUAAAGAUUAAUAAUGUGGUUUUCAGAGUGGAAGUGUGUCCAGUUCGUCUACGUCUGCGGACAACUGGCCAAUCGCCUCUCUGGGUGGGCCUCCGCCAAUGGGCUCCUAUCAAGAGCCCAGAAAGGGUUUACCCCCGCGGAGGGCUGCCUGGAGCACAAUUUCCUGUUACAGGAACUCCUCGAUGAGGCACGUAUGCAUGGGGGGGAGCUUUGCAUUGCCUGGCUUGACCUGGCUAAUGCAUUUGGGAGUGUCCCCCACUCCUCGCUCUUCUCCGCCCUGCGCUCUGCCGGUCUUAUAGUGUAAGAACCAGCACUCUUAGACCAUCAGCUGAUAGAAGACAGCCUGCAGGUUCGAUGAACAGAUGUUGUGCCUUCGGCUGGUGCUUCCACCAAAUUUUAAGUUUUAUAUUCUACUCACAUGUUUAAAUAUAAAUCUUCUGAACUUUGUGGUAUAUGAAGUAAUGAAAGUAAGUAUAUGAAAAAUUAAGGAAAUAAUUCUUGAAAAUAACUAUAAGGCUAAUUGCAAUGAAAAUAAGAGCUAUUAUACGUAUACCUAAUAGUUUUGUUAACAUUUCCAAAUACACUGGAUAAAUAUGGCUGUAUAUAUAGGUACCAUACGACAUUCAAAUGUAGAUAUUAACACCAAUUUAUUUAUUUGUUGGGUGUAUUAGCUUAUUUAAUGUUUUAUGGAGUUUGGUUGUUUUAACUGAUUUUGCAAUUGAAUAGUAAUGCAAUAAUAAACGAAGGUUUAAUUUCAACUACAUGUUUGAAUAUAAUCUCAUGUACUGUGAAGUAAAAGUCACUAAAAUUACAUAGUUGGUUUGAAUCGCAAUUCAAUUAUGUAUAAGUCAUCACUGUCUAAUAUAUAUGGUUAUUUUAAAUGUAUUAUUUAGACUGUCUUAUAUUACUAAAAUUUACAUGUAUUUUUAUGUUUUACAUAAGAGUCAGUGGUCAGACUACGAGUAUAUCUGACCUUCAGAAGAGAGUAAAAUAAAAAUGUUAUCCGAUUUCGGAGAAACUCAUCCUUAUGAUUGGGGCGAAUGACUUUUUGAAGAAUGCAGACAUUUCGACAAUGUGUAGGGAACUCUCUGCACUCAUCAAAACACUGCAGGAAACUGUAAGAAGUCUAAUCCUGCUGAACCUGCCGCCGCGCCGAUACCAAAGCUGGAGAAAAAAUACGGUCUGAGCCAUUUCAAACUCUUGGAGGAGUACAAUGGCCACAUCCGUAGCUUGGAAAAUGAAGAGUAUGUAAGGAUAGCCGACAUCAGCCCACUGUACGUGACCUCAUCUCCACGCCAGAAGUGCCUUAUGCAUCUCUUUGAACGAUUUUUCUCUGGAAGAGCUAGACGACCAGAUUUAAUUCACCUCAAUCGGCAAGGUCUUAUAGUUAUGCGUAAGUAUAUCCUUGACAAUGAAUUGUUUAUAAAUUUUAGAUUUGCUUUUACUCUGUAAAAUUUUAGUGUUUAUAUAACUUUAUAUCUGGACAUUUUAUUGUUAUAAAAACAACAUAGCAUAUAAGUUCUUCAUAAUUGGAUUUUUUAAUUAUGCUACACCAAAGAUUUGUAUGAGAUCAUGUCUUCCAAUCUUUAGUGAACUGAAAAGUGGGAAAACGUGUUUCUUUUAAUUAGGUUUAAUAAAGUGUUACAGAUAUAUUAUUGCUCAUUAAAACAAAUUGUAUAUAACUGUUUAAAAUUGUUUUGUGAGUAAUAGUAUACAUAUUUGUAUUUUUAACAUCAGGUUGUCCAAAUUAAAAAGAAAAUUUAAACAUAUAGUUUUGAGUUAUUUAAAUGUAUAAUAAAAUUUAGCUGUUGAAUAUUUAUAUUUUUACAGAGUUAUGCUAUAUCUUUGGAUAUUUGUAGGAUGUAUAGAGUAGUAUGUAAAAUGUAUGUAUUGUAGACUAGUAUGUAAAACGUGUAACAUAGUUAUCAUCAUAGUAAAUCUUUCUGUAUAUUUAAUUAGCUGUUAAGCUUUUUGUGUAUUUAAAUAGACGAUUUAUUACUAUUAUUGUGUCAAGUACAAUUCAUGUAGAUAUUUUAUAGUAAAGUGGCAUUAUAAAUUUUACUGUUCUAGUACCAUAAUACCGAGAAGUCCUUUAAAGUUUGUGUAUCAUUGUAAAUGCUGUAAUACUUUUCACGAAAGACCAUGUUUUACCAUAACUAUUUUCUUAUCUUUGAACUAGUCUGUAUAUGUUUGAAUGGAAUAGUGCGGUAAUAUUUAAUAGUACUAAGAAAAAUCUUUAAACGUAACAAUUUGGUAUUUUCAUUUCACCCUUACCCCACUAAAUGUUUUAGACAGCUUAGCGCGCUAGAUUGCUAUUGGUACCUAUUAGCCAAAA